AACGAACGCUGGCGGCAUGCCUAACACAUGCAAGUCGAACGAGACCUUCGGGUCUAGUGGCGCACGGGUGCGUAACGCGUGGGAAUCUGCCCUUGGGUUCGGAAUAACAGCGAGAAAUUGCUGCUAAUACCGGAUGAUGACGUAAGUCCAAAGAUUUAUCGCCCAAGGAUGAGCCCGCGUAGGAUUAGCUAGUUGGUGAGGUAAAGGCUCACCAAGGCGACGAUCCUUAGCUGGUCUGAGAGGAUGAUCAGCCACACUGGGACUGAGACACGGCCCAGACUCCUACGGGAGGCAGCAGUGGGGAAUAUUGGACAAUGGGCGAAAGCCUGAUCCAGCAAUGCCGCGUGAGUGAUGAAGGCCUUAGGGUUGUAAAGCUCUUUACCCGGGUAUGAUAAUGACAGUACCGGGAGAAUAAGCUCCGGCUAACUCCGUGCCAGCAGCCGCGGUAAU
rnacentral:rRNA from 1 species